GUGGGGAAUAUUGGACAAUGGGCGAAAGCCUGAUCCAGCAAUGCCGCGUGAGUGAUGAAGGCCUUAGGGUUGUAAAGCUCUUUUACCCGGGAUGAUAAUGACAGUACCGGGAGAAUAAGCUCCGGCUAACUCCGUGCCAGCAGCCGCGGUAAUACGGAGGGAGCUAGCGUUGUUCGGAAUUACUGGGCGUAAAGCGCACGUAGGCGGCUUUGCAAGUUAGAGGUGAAAGCCCGGGGCUCAACUCCGGAAUUGCCUUUAAAACUGCAUCGCUUGAAUCCGGGAGAGGUGAGUGGAAUUCCGAGUGUAGAGGUGAAAUUCGUAGAUAUUCGGAAGAACACCAGUGGCGAAGGCGGCUCACUGGACCGGCAUUGACGCUGAGGUGCGAAAGCGUGGGGAGCAAACAGGAUUAGAAACCCUAGUAGUCC
rnacentral:rRNA from 1 species